UACGGAGGGUGCAAGCGUUAUCCGGAUUUAUUGGGUUUAAAGGGUCCGUAGGCGGGCCCGUAAGUCAGUGGUGAAAUCUCGCAGCUUAACUGCGAAACUGCCAUUGAUACUGCGGGUCUUGAGUGAAUUUGAAGUGGCUGGAAUAAGUAGUGUAGCGGUGAAAUGCAUAGAUAUUACUUAGAACACCGAUUGCGAAGGCAGGUCACUAAGAUUCAACUGACGCUGAGGGACGAAAGCGUGGGGAGCGAAC
rnacentral:rRNA from 1 species